rnacentral:rRNA from 1 species
UACCUGGUUGAUCCUGCCAGUAGUCAUAUGCUUGUCUCAAAGAUUAAGCCAUGCAUGUCUAAGUACAAGCCUUACUAAGGUGAAACUGCGAAUGGCUCAUUAAAUCACACCUAAUGUACUGGAUAGUUUCAGUUACUUGGAUAACUGCGGUAAUUCUGGAGCUAAUACAUGCGCACAAGUCCCCGAUUUUGAGGGGUGCUUUUAUUAGAUCAAAACCAAACGGCUUCGGCUGUUUACUUGGUGAUUCUGAAUAACUUUGGGCUGAUCGUAUGGCUUUAUGCCGACGACGUAUCCUUCCAAGGUGUGCCCUAUCAACUGUCGACUGUGGCAUAGACGCCCACAGUGGUUUUGACGGGUAACGGGGAAUUAGGGUUCGAUUCCGGAGAGGGAGCCUGAGAAAUGGCUACCACUUCUACGGAAGGCAGCAGGCACGCAAAUUACCCAAUGGUCGCAGACCGAGGUAGUGACGAAAAAUAACGGUAUCGGUCUCUUUCGAGGCACGAUAAUCGGAAUGAGUACACUUUAAAUCCUUUAAUGAGGAACAAUUGGAGGGCAAGUCUGGUGCCAGCAGCCGCGGUAAUUCCAGCUCCAAUAGCGUAUAUUAAAGUUGUUGCGGUUAAAAAGCUCGUAGUUGGAUUUCGGCAGACAGGGGGCGGUUCGUUGUUUGGCGGCACUGCUCCAUUUGUUUGUGUUUUUGACGGAGGUUUGAGGGUUCUCUUUACUGGGUGUUUCAGGUGCCGUCAGGUUUACUUUGAAAAAAUUAGAGUGCUCAAAGCAGGCUUAAACGCUUGAAUAUUCGUGCAUGGAAUAAUGGAAUAGGAAGUCGUUUCUAUUUUUUGGUUUUCGGAAAUUGACUUAAUGAUUAAUAGGGACAGCCGGGGGCAUUAGUAUUCAGACGACAGAGGUGAAAUUCUUGGACCGUCUGAAGACUAACUACUGCGAAAGCAUUUGCCAAGAGUGUUUUCAUUAAUCAAGAACGAAAGUUAGAGGUUCGAAGGCGAUCAGAUACCGCCCUAGUUCUAACCAUAAACGAUGCCAGCUAGCGAUCCGCGGGUGUUUUUUUUGUAGGCUCCGCGGGAAGCUUCCGGGAAACCAAAGCUUGUGGGUUCCGGGGGAAGUAUGGUUGCAAAGCUGAAACUUAAAGGAAUUGACGGAAGGGCACCACCAGGAGUGGAGCCUGCGGCUUAAUUUGACUCAACACGGGAAAUCUCACCAGGCCCGGACACUGGAAGGAUUGACAGAUUGAGAGCUCUUUCUCGAUUCGGUGGGUGGUGGUGCAUGGCCGUUCUUAGUUGGUGGAGUGAUUUGUCUGGUUAAUUCCGAUAACGAACGAGACUCUGUCCUGCUAAAUAGUUGUCGCGUCAUCUUUGCGCGGCAAAGAUCUUCUUAGAGGGACUGGUGGCUUUUAGUCACACGAGAUUGAGCAAUAACAGGUCUGUGAUGCCCUUAGAUGUUCUGGGCUGCACACGCGCUACACUGAAGAGAUCAGCAUGUUUACCCUUCCCGAGAGGGAUGGGAAACCCGUUGAACCCUCUUCGUGGUAGGGAUCGGAGCUUGCAAUUAUUCUCCGUGAACCAGGAAUUCCCAGUAAGCGCAAGUCAUAAGCUUGCGUUGAUUACGUCCCUGCCCUUUGUACACACCGCCCGUCGCUACUACCGAUUGAACGUUUUAGUGAGGUAUUUGGACCGGUUUCCUAUUGCCUUUCGAGUCAAUGGCGUUUACUGGAAAGACUCCCAAACUUGAGCGUUUAGAGGAAGUAAAAGUCGUAACAAGGUUUCCGUAGGUGAACCUGCGGAAGGAUCAUUA